rnacentral:pre_miRNA from 1 species
CAACUACUCCCUCCGUUCCAAAAAUUUUGUCUUAGAUUUGUCUUGAUAGGAAUGUAUCUAGAUACGUUUUAGUAUUUAGAUACAUUCAUUUCUAGACAAACCUAAGACAAGAAUUUUGGGACGGAGGGAGUACUUG